GGGCACGUAGCUCAGUCCGGAGAGAGCGUUUGGCUUCUAACCAAACGGUCGCGGGUUCAAAUCCCGUCGUGCCCG
rfam:Halococcus saccharolyticus DSM 5350 contig_33, whole genome shotgun sequence.